rnacentral:rRNA from 1 species
AUUGAACGCUGGCGGCAGGCUUAACACAUGCAAGUCGAGCGGAGAUGAGGUGCUUGCACCUUAUCUUAGCGGCGGACGGGUGAGUAAUGCUUAGGAAUCUGCCUAUUAGUGGGGGACAACAUUCCGAAAGGAAUGCUAAUACCGCAUACGUCCUACGGGAGAAAGCAGGGGAUCUUCGGACCUUGCGCUAAUAGAUGAGCCUAAGUCGGAUUAGCUAGUUGGUGGGGUAAAGGCCUACCAAGGCGACGAUCUGUAGCGGGUCUGAGAGGAUGAUCCGCCACACUGGGACUGAGACACGGCCCAGACGCCUGCGGGAGGCAGCAGUGGGGAAUAUUGGACAAAGGGGGGAACCCUGAUCCAGCCAUGCCGCGUGUGUGAAGAAGGCCUUAUGGUUGUAAAGCACUUUAAGCGAGGAGGAGGCUACUGAGACUAAUACUCUUGGAUAGUGGACGUUACUCGCAGAAUAAGCACCGGCUAACUCUGUGCCAGCCGCCGCAGUAAAAC